rnacentral:rRNA from 1 species
CCCUUAGACGUUCUGGGCCGCACGCGCGCUACACUGACGAAGGCAACGAGCUACUCUUCACCGAAAGGUGUGGGUAAUCUUUUGAAACUUCGUCGUGCUGGGGAUAGAUCCUUGCAAUUUUUGAUCUUAAACGAGGAAUUCCUAGUAAGCGCAAGUCAUCAACUUGCGUUGAUUACGUCCCUGCCCUUUGUACACACCGCCCGUCGCUACUACCGAUUGAAUGGUUUAGUGAGGCCCUCGGAUCCGCGAUUUUAUUGUGGAGAAGUUGGACAAACUCAGUCAUUUAGAGGAAGUAAAAGUCGUAACA